ensembl:lncRNA
CUCAUUUAAAGGUUGGCAGUGGGGGUGAGGGUGUCUUGCUAGAGAUCCCUGUAUACCUGAGUUCUUCCAAAGAAGAAACUACAGGCAAGAAGACUCCAGUAAAGACAAGGCACAUAGUCACAAAUAAAGGAAGACUUCAACAGUAACAGCAAAAUUAAAGUUCUGUGCCCUCAUGGUGGCUCCUUUUUGGCUGGUGUCCUCACUAACAAAUCAGACUUCUCUUGGCUGUAAAAGCUCCUGGGGGCUUGCAUGAACACUUGGCUGUUUUGCACAUUUUAGGUCCAAAAUAAAGCCUGGAGUCUUUUGUGACAAAAUAAAUUCUGUUAUGAACUCAGUCUCAAAACAACCCUAAAUGAAAUGUUUUGGUUUGGCUGUCUGUCUGGAAGAUUUCUCUUGUCAAUAUUUUCUCUCAGCAGUGUGAUAUUCUAAACUAAGCUGCUAUCUUCAUUUUGCUUUGUUCAACUCCAAGUAGAGCUGCAUCCAUAGUAAUAAGGUGGGAAGGAGGGAAGUGUUACUUCGUUAUGUAGAAGAUGACAACAUCGCUUCAGAUCUGGAUGUAGACGGCCUUGGAGUUGUUGACAGUUGAAUCAAAAGACUAUCUGGGCUGGAGAAGCUGGAGGCUUGGUUUCCAGAAAGAAGAGCUGGUGCUGAGAGGUGGGUUCCAGGGAGAAAAUGAGGCCCAAAGAGAACAUGAAGAUCCUGACUGAAGGACAGGUCUGGGAAGUGAGGGAAGAUUCUGGAGGUGAGGUAAAUGCAUGGAGACCAAUGACAGGAGAUGCCCAGCACCAAAUAAUCGUGCCUGAGACCAGAAACUGCAAGCAGAAUCGUAGCAGAAUCCAGCAGGAGUUUCUGCCCAACCUGCUCUAGCCAACGACCUGCCUGCAGGGAAAUCAAGACCUUGGGAACAUCAUGGGGAAGCUGUAACAGCCGUAGAGAAUAAGCAUAGAAAAAAACAAACCCUGCUGAAGUUUUUGCAGAGGUGAUAUUCUUUGUUUUCCCAAGGAUUCUGGAUGAACCUUAAAGCGAGCUAUGAGAUGGAGAAGGAAGCAGAGAGGGGGAAGUGCUGCUGUUAAUUUGGCAUUCAUCUUAAGGAGCUGAAUGGCAGCCAGAAGUAGUGCAGAUGGCAUCUCAAUUCCCUCUUCUUUUGAAGAAAAUGUAUUUUUAAUACAGUAACUUUUUGUUUCCAUUAAGACAUUUUUAGCUGUGGAAUAAGGACAGUUAAAGGCAGUAGUUAAACCACCAGCUUUUAGAUGACAUUUCUGAAAGCAGUUUAUUUCCCAGAGUGAUAGAUGUAUGAAACAUAUGGUUUCUUCAAAGCCACAACCAAGGAGCUGGAUAGUAAGGAUGCAGGGGGUUAGUUGGCAGACACCCUAGGAAGGAAGCGAAAGGACACAGAACUGGUGAUAGUGUUGCUUUUGCAUAUGGGUAUGGUGGUGACAGGAGGAUUUGUCUGUAUUAAAUUGUAUUUUACACUGUUCUCGUCAAAUCCAAACUCUAAGCUUGUCCAGAUAAACUGCGUUCCAGACACCUGCUCAGCUUUCUGACACCUGAUUAAAUGCAUAUCUGACUGCCAUGAGGACUGCAAAUCAGCAUGAGGUGAAAGCAUACCAUGCUUUAGGUGUGGUAUAUUAUAAACUAUUGACUCUUUCAGUAAGGGACUUUUUGGAGAGUAAUUUUUUCAUGAACCUAUUUGUGAAAUGUUCUCGUAGGUGAACUCCAAAGCAAAGAUAAAAUUUGAACUAAAAUACACAGACCUAACAAGCUGCCAUGUGCAUUUGCCCAUCAAUAAGGUAAUGCUCAUAUUUUGGUAAUUCAUUGCAUCUCUACUGUGAGCUUCAGACUUCCUAAUAUACUGAAAACAUUCCCAUAGGGCAUGAUUGGCACUGCCGUAGUACAACUCAUGAUUGAUAGCAGUAUGAAUCAGGAAGUGCCACCUGAAGGACUUUAUAAGGGAAGCUAUUUCUUGAAAUCAACAGUUAGUGUUUUGUUGUUAUUUAUUAGUGUAUUUCAACAACUAAAGAAUCUAGACCUUUUUUGGCAGAAAAGCAUUAAGUUGAUAUUAGAACCAUUGCUUCUGCUUCCUCUUGAGAGACAAAAUUCUGAGAUUUCACCAUUAAAUAAGUGAAAGAACGACUAAAAGGACAUGACAACUGAAAAGGUUAGUUAUUCAAACAUUUUAUUCCCCAAACUAUUAAAUAAAUAACUAGAUAAAUAAAUGAAAGUAUUUGAUAAUGGAGAAGGUUUAUUACUCAAACAUCUUUCCAGAUCUAUCUGUGACCUCUAAAAUUAGGAACCUAUAACUGGUGCUGCUACCUGCAGUGGGUCCUACCCUGGCCUGCUGGCCUAUCCCUUGUACGUGCCUGGCUGCUGCAGGUGCCACUGGGGCAGGACGGGGCUGCCCAUCAGGGGGCACCAGCAUGGCUGCUACCAGCAUGGCCGCUGCAAGGGAUGAGGUGAGGAGGGCUCAAGGAGCUGCUGCUCUGCUGCCUGUGGGUGCCGGGGAAGCUCCUGCUGUGCAGGGCUGGUUAUAAACCUGGGUCCCAUCUGAGGUGGAGGAGGAGAAGUGGCAGCCGAGGUCUGGCUGCUGCUUGGUGGCAGCAGGGAAGGGUCCAGAGGCUGGCAUGUUUCCCUCUGUGCUGCUGCAGUAGGGACUGGCAGGGCUGAAGCAGCACUGCUUUGGGUCGUGGCUUUCUGAGGGUGCUUGAGUGGUGGGGGCCCCACAGUUGCUGCUGUCUCUGUGCCUUCUUCCUUUGGCACUGCCAGCAGGCUCCUACCUUGCCCAACAGCUGCUCCCUGCAUGGGCUGGGCACCUGGUCUGCUCCUCAGGUGGCUCUCAUUUAGGUCUCCCUGCAGGGCAGAGGCAGUCACCUCUCAUCUCCUUAGGGCAACUCCUUGUUGGCAGUGUUCAGGCAGCUGUGGAUCAUCUCUCUUGAAACACGGGUGAGAGUAGAAGAGUGACUGAAAAAUGCAAAGGAGGAGAGUUAGUUGCUGUCUGUUUGGAACUGAAAGACAGCAAAAUACAGGAAGUAAGACUUAAUAGCUGAAGGCAAAUAUGGGUAGUAAAAAGGUCUAUUGGUCAGAUUAAUCCCAGAGCUUAGGUUAAGUCAAACAAGAUAUGUUGCAAAUAUAUUGUAAUAAAUAGACUCAUCAUAUCCUGAUUUAUCUUUCUUUUCCGUGGGUUCAAAUUGGGAUAUAACUCAAAUCUAUUUUAUCUAUAUUUCUACUAUUCAGCAAUGCAACCUCUAAAAUACCCAGAAGCAGUCAGAGAAAGAUAUAAAGAUCAGAACACUGACUGACGUCCUCCUCUCAUUACCAAAGCUUAUUUUCUUGGAACUUUCAUCCUAUCCACUAGAAUCUUGUGAGAGUUGGUUUAUGUGUGAAGCAACUGACGUACCUUCCUGUGAGCAGCAAAUGCUUCUUCCUUUGCCAGAAACUCAGGAAUGGACAGAGAGAUCUUGUGCAGUCACAGUGUAUUUUGGUGA